AUUGAACGCUGGCGGCAUGCCUUACACAUGCAAGUCGAACGGAGUGCCUUUGAAAGAGGAUUCGUCCAAUUGAUAAGGUUACUUAGUGGCGGACGGGUGAGUAACGCGUGAGGAACCUGCCUUGGAGUGGGGAAUAACACAGUGAAAAUUGUGCUAAUACCGCAUAAUGCAGUUGGGCCGCAUGGCUCUGACUGCCAAAGAUUUAUCGCUCUGAGAUGGCCUCGCGUCUGAUUAGUUAGUUGGUGGGGUAACGGCCCACCAAGGCGACGAUCAGUAGCCGGACUGAGAGGUUGGCCGGCCACAUUGGGACUGAGACACGGCCCAG
rnacentral:rRNA from 1 species